rnacentral:rRNA from 1 species
UACGUAGGGGGCUAGCGUUGUCCGGAAUCAUUGGGCGUAAAGCGCGUGUAGGCGGUCCGGUAAGUCCGCUGUGAAAGUCGAGGGCUCAACCCUCGAAUGCCGGUGGAUACUGUCGGGCUUGAGUACGGGAGAGGCGAGUGGAAUUCCUGGUGUAGCGGUGAAAUGCGCAGAUAUCAGGAGGAACACCUAUGGCGAAGGCAGCUCGCUGGGACGGUACUGACGCGUGAGGCGACGAAAGGCGUGG